rnacentral:lncRNA from 1 species
ACAAGAAAGUCGGUAAUAAGAUGUGUGAGCCAAUAUUUAUCUUCUUGCUUCAUGCAUUUUUCUAUUUUGCUCGAUGUUCGAUGCUAUUCAUGUCGUUGAGGACUUGGUCAUCGGCAGCGAUAGAACUAAUGGUCAGGUUGUAGUGCUUUUCCUUCCUGAUGUUAUGUUGUUGGCCCCUGUUAAUGUUUGUUGUACAUUUUCCUUGAUUUUUUGUUCUGCCUUGCUAUGCAUUGGAUACUCUAUGGUUGGGUUGUACUAUUACAUGAAUAGAAUCCAUGUGCUAAAAGCAUUGAGAUUAAUUUAGAUAUGUGGAUGAAAUAUUUCUUUUCGUGUAUAAGAUAAUUGGUUUAACAAUUUAGUCACUCCUUACUGUUAUUUAAAGUAGAUAGAUUGUCCAUGAUGGAAGUUCAAAUUAUUGGUCUAAUUGGUUUAUCAAUUUAGUUGAUCCUUACUGUUUUCACGAUAGUAUUACCCACCAUCUUCAUUUUUUAUGCCCCUCUUCCACCAACAAUUCCCUUAUGAUAUUGCAUUUUCCAAUUUUAUUUCUGCAUAGGGGUUCUUAAUUUUUAUGCCGCUGGUCCACCGCUUCUCUGGUUUUAUAAAAUAGUAGAUAUUGUUAUUUUCUAGAUCAUUGGUACUUAUAGCCUUAUAUGUUGGCGUAAUCUGUCCUAGAUAUCAAUAGAGUAGUAUUUUGUUAAUUGAUUAAUGGUCAAACAUACUACUUCUGUAUCUUUACUAUAGGUGCCUCAAACAAAAAUAUCUUAGUGUUCUACAUUGAAUCUAACAUAUGCAGCUUAAAUAUCUAUAACCAUUCAUCACCAAAACUACUUUGUUAGCAGUGAAAGGCUUGGUAGAAUUUCAUAGAUGUUGUUCAUCAUGGGAUUAACCUGUAGAAGAAUCUAUUCAUAACCUUAUCAUGUGUGUGAUGUUGGGUUGCAACCUUUCUAUGUUGAAAGGCUUCUUUAUUUCCCUUGCUCCCAUUUUCUUCCUUAUGCAUUGACUAAAGUUAUGUUUUACAAUGUGGCAUGGUUUGAGCAUUUCACGCUAUUUUCGUGCUUCCAUUAUUUCCUGCCACAACAUAGCUUUGAACUAUGGUGCAAGUUGGGGAUUUUUUUUCUGUUGAAAAAAUAACUUGAAACUACCUCCCCGCAUGUUUCAUUAAUUUCAUCCAUUGUGGACUCAUCAGGUACUAACAAACUUAUUUUUGUGAUGAUGCAAAUCAUGGUUUAGUUACCUUUUCCACUGCAUGUUCUACAUAUGCUUUCAUUAAAUAUCAUGUUUCCCACAAUGUUGGCUACCUGGUCUUCUAAGCAGUUAGUACAGAUAGCAAGUGCGGCUUGCCGCUCCCACCCGGUCCAGUUACAUCCAACCCGGUAGUAUACACAUGAUGCAAAGGUAGAGGAACAAUAAACUCAUGAAUAACUAAACAUAACUGGAUGCUCCUUUGCCUUCUUGUGUGCACAAAAUUUUGUGAACUCAUUGUGAUUCAGAAAUACAUGGUAGCAUGCAACAGAAUAUUUUGUGGUUAUUUUAUUGAUGUAGCUUACAAAUCAUGUUAUUUGUUGUUACCAAUACGUACCAGAUUUUGGCCAUGUUCAUUUAAUAUAGUUUUUGGUCUCAGUAACAACACGUGUUGGUGUUAAGACGAGCCGCAUGGUCUGCUAUGAUCAACAACUUGUGAGUCAUAGGAUUUGAUGCAUUAUUUUGUGUGAAAAAAGUAUCUUUGUAAUGAAUGUGUGAAUUCAAUUUUUUGUUUGAUGCAACCAGCAACUUCUAUGGGUAACUAUACUAAUAUAUGAGAGCAUGUGUGCAAAUGUAUGUAGUUUUUAGGGAGAAUCAUGUGAAACCAGUGUGAAACUGUAUCUCAUAGCAAUGCACUUAACUCAUAACAAUGCACUUAUUUAAAAAAAAUAGUGGAUGUUGAGUGGAUGUUGUAUAUUUAUUUUACAAGAUUUGAUUUACAAACUAUAUCUCAUAACAAUGCACUUAUUUUGACAAAUUUUGUGGCAGGAGAUAAAAGCAAGACAAGGUUGACCUCACAAUGCCCUCUGAUAGAAAUCAUCACUAUGAGAGGUUGUAAGCCUAGGUGGGUUUGACAAUCGAAAGAAAAACCAUGCGGUAUUCAUAUUGCUCACUCUCUACAUGCUUACUUAUAUAAUCAUCUUCUGGAUUAUUUGACCAGCAGAUAGUUCAUUUUGCACUUUGAUGCAUGAAUGUAGAGUAUCUUCGAUGCAUUACCAGCAGAUAAUGCUAAAACUUACAUUGUCAUACUUAUAGUGACAAUCAGUGCAUUCUUGUACU